AAAAAUGUGAAAGUAGGUCACUAGGUCAAUGUAAAGGUCAAAGUUUGUUUCGGUACACAAAACUAUGCAUGUGUCCAAAUUUGAAGGCUGUAGCUUGAGAAAUGUGAAAGUAGGUCACUAGGUCAAAAUCAAGGUCAACUCAUGUCAAGGUUCAUCUUGCCACUCAAAACCAUACAUGUGGUCCAAAUUUGAAUGUUGUAGGUUAUUGACAAGAAGAUUUUAAAAGCUUUUCCCUAUAUAAGUCUAUAUGAACCAUGUGACCCCCAGGGUGGGGCCAUAUUUGACCCUAGGG